CCCCACCUUCAUUUCCUCUGUCCCCCUUUUUAAUCUUUCCUUCUUCGUUCCUCACCCUUUCCUCGUUCCUUCCUGUUACACCUUUCUCUUUCUCUCUCCUCUCAUCCUCUCUCUCCCUCCUUCUCACAUUUCUCCUUCAUCCUUUCCCUUCCCCUCCCUCCCAGCUUUUUCCUCAGCCCGCCUCUCUGUCUGUCCUUAUUUUUAGAGAGGAUAUGAGCCCCAUAGAUCACUUUGAGCUCUUUCAUGUGAGAUCUUUUUCCAGCACAGGCCCAGACCCUGCUCCUUGUUUUUGUCUGGCUAGGGUCAGAGACAAGCGAGACACUGGCAAUCCCAGGAAGGCAUAGACACUCCCUGCUCUUUGAGGGCCUCCAGACAGGAGGGUCUCCAGCCCCCCAGGUUCUCUGUGCUAACACUGAAAUCUCUGAAGUGAGGCCAUGCUUGUCUUGUCUGUCAUGUUGAUGUGGGGACAUGCUGUGAGAGCCUGAAGAUGUCUCCUUCUCUCUCCGCUCCCUGGGCUCUCACUGGCAUGGGUGCUCUUCUUAGGGUGAGGGGAGUGAGCCCAGGUGACAGGCUGUCUGGAUCAUGUCCCCAUUUCAAAGACUUCACCCUGUUUCUGGGUAGAGCCGUCUGCCUACCUGGGUCUCCUCUGGAGAUAACUCUGGUGUAUGGGAACAAUCUGGAAGAAGCACAGGGCUCCCUUGCUCCUGGGUUUUGUUAGACUUGUUCCUCUGCCAGCACAUGUUGGGGAUCCUUCAUCCUAUCCACAGUCCUCUGGGCCCCUCAACCCAGUGUGAAUAGCUUGCAGUGCUGCCCUGGGCUCAGGCUGAAGAUGGACACAUGUAUCCCCCUCCCCCUGGACCUUCGAUUUUAUUGUUAGAUAAUCAUAGAUUCUUGUGAGAGACAGAUCCCUGGGGUAGGACACUGGUGACCCUAGAUGUUGAUACUGUGAUUGCCAAGGUUCUAAUGAAGCCAGAUUUGACCACCUAGAGCCUCAGCUUCCCUAUGUGUAAUGUGGAACACCAUCAUGAAUGGACUGGAUGAGUUGGUGGAGGGAUUCCUGGGUCCUCUUCAUGAUGGGCAGAUGAAACAUCAUUGUGUCUAUCAAGCUGGUGGAGGGGGUGAGAUGGGGGCUAUAUUGGGCGCUGGACCAAGUGGUCACAGAGGCCUGGACAUAGAUGUCUCCAGGGAUUGGAGUUCCCCAC
rnacentral:lncRNA from 1 species